ensembl:snRNA U6 U6 spliceosomal RNA
GUGCUCACUUCAGUGACAUUUACACUAAAAUUGGAACGAUGCAGAGAAGAUUAGCUUGGCCCUUGUGCAAGGAGGACAUGCAAAUUCAUGAAGCAUUCCAUAUAGUU